AAGCCCCAGUCCCACUAGACCACGAUCGCACCACGCUCACCGCGAUCUAAAUUAAAUUCAGAUCGUGGUGAGGUCGCGGUAUGAGCGGCAUGAAAAUGUAAAUUUUCGUUGCUUUCACGAUGCUACUACGUCCUCAUUACGCUUCUACAACGAUCCCGCUACGAUUAAAACACGUUCUCACCGCGUUUAUUCUGCGACCUUACUACGCUUAUUAAGAUCUUUCUACGCUCAUCACGUUCUCACUACGACCAUACCACGAGUUAUUCGAUUGCAACACGAUCUUACCACGCUUCUACUGCGAUUAUAGCACGUUCUUACCACGAUUACACUACGUUUAAACCGCGAUCCCACUAAGCUCUCAGCAAUAACGUCAACAUCGUGUUCCAUAUCAAUACAGUAUCAUUCCUUCAGUUCUAUUUCUAAUUAAUACGUAGAUUUCUCGAAAAAAUACAAUCAAGCCACCAAAAUCUACUAGAACUCGUGGGCGUGGUGUUAAGGUUGAUGUAGAGGCAGGUGGAGCUCUGAUAGUAACGAAUCUUGAUCAAGUAGAGAUGUCGGACCGACCAAUCCG
rnacentral:lncRNA from 1 species